rnacentral:sRNA from 1 species
AACACCCAGUACUGCAAGCAUCUGGCCCUGUCUCAGCCAUUCAGCUUCACCCAGCAGGACAUGCCCAAACUUCGUCGGCAGAUCUACAAGGAGCUGUGUCACUGCAAACUCACUGUGUGAGCCUCGUACCCCAGACCCCAAGCCCAUAAAUGGGAAGGGAGACAUGGGAGUCCCUUCCCAAGAAACUCCAGUUCCUUUCCUCUCUUGCCUCUUCCCACUCACUUCCCUUUGGUUUUUCAUAUUUAAAUGUUUCAAUUUCUGUAUUUUUUUUUCUUUGAGAGAAUACUUGUUGAUUUCUGAUGUGCAGGGGGUGGCUACAGAAAAGCCCCUUUCUUCCUCUGUUUGCAGGGGAGUGUGGCCCUGUGGCCUGGGUGGAGCAGUCAUCCUCCCCCUUCCCUGUGCAGGGAGCAGGAAAUCAGUGCUGGGGGUGGUGGGCGGACAAUAGGAUCACUGCCUGCCAGAUCUUCAAACUUUUUUUUUUAUAUAUAUAUAUAUAUA